rnacentral:misc_RNA from 1 species
GAUGAAGAACGUAGCGAAAUGCGAUAAGUAAUGUGAAUUGCAGAAUUCAGUGAAUCAUCGAAUCUUUGAACGCACAUUGCGCCCGCCAGUAUUCUGGCGGGCAUGCCUGUUCGAGCGUCAUUACAACCCUCAGGCCCCCGGGCCUGGCGUUGGGGAUCGGCGGAAGCCCCCUGUGGGCACAACGCCGUCCCCCAAAUACAGUGGCGGUCCCGCCGCAGCUUCCAUUGCGUAGUAGCUAACACCUCGCAACUGGAGAGCGGCGCGGCCACGCCGUAAAACACCCAACUUCUGAAUGUUGACCUCGAAUCAGGUAGGAAUACCCGCUGAACUUAAGCAUAUCAAUAAGCGGAGGA